UACGGAGGGUGCAAGCGUUGUUCGGAUUUACUGGGCGUAAAGCGCGCGCAGGUGGGUGUGCAAGUCGGAAGUGAAAUCUUGAGGCUCAACCUCGAGGCUGCUCCCGAAACUGCACGCCUAGGGACUGGUAGAGGCUGGUAGAAUUCCAGGUGUAGCGGUGAAAUGCGUAGAGAUCUGGAGGAACACCGAUGGCGAAGGCAGCCUUCUGGGCCAACACUGACGCUCAUGCACGAAAGCGUGGGGAGCAAACAGG
rnacentral:rRNA from 1 species